CAGCAGCCGCGGUAAUGCGAAGGGUGCAAGCGUUAAUCGGAAUUACUGGGCGUAAAGCGUGCGUAGGCGGUGAGUUAAGUCUGCUGUGAAAUCCCCGGGCUCAACCUGGGAAUGGCAGUGGAUACUGGCUCGCUAGAGUGUGUCAGAGGAUGGUGGAAUUCCCGGUGUAGCGGUGAAAUGCAUAGAGAUCGGGAGGAACAUCAGUGGCGAAGGCGGCCAUCUGGGACAACACUGACGCUGAGGCACGAAAGCGUGGGGAGCAAACAGGAUUAGAUACCCCCGUAGUCCCUGUCUCUUAUAC
rnacentral:rRNA from 1 species